UACGGGGGGGGCAAGCGUUGUUCGGAAUUACUGGGCGUAAAGGGCUCGUAGGUGGCCAACUAAGUCAGACGUGAAAUCCCGGGGCUCAACCUCGGAACUGCCUUUGAUACAGCAAGUCUUGAGUUCGAGAGAGGUGGGUGGAAUUCCUAGUGUAGAGGUGAAAUUCGUAGAUAUUAGGAAGAACACCGGUGGCGAAGGCGGCCCACUGGCUCGACACUGACGCUGAGGUGCGAAAGCGUGGGGAGCAAACAGG
rnacentral:rRNA from 1 species